UGUAGAAGGAGGAUCAUCUGGUUCUGGACCACAGUUGACCAGGGCAAUUGGAACCUCAGCAAAACUAUGGAUAAGGGCGGAACUACUGUGGAGGGAUUUCCCAUAUUACCUCCUGGCCCCACUCAUGCAUAGCUUCCUCUAUUAUAAAAAUUUCUCACCAGAGGGAAAACGGGAGCCAGAGCCCUCCCACCUUAGCAUCUUCACAGCAUACCACCAGCCAUCACAUGUGGAACCUUCUGAGAUGCAGUCCAAGGACAAGUAUCCAGGCUCAAGCAUCCAUUAUGUGCAUAGCCCGUGGAUUCCAGGGCUGUAUCAUGCAUGAACCAGAGACCCACAAAAUAGCAGUCUUGUUUGAAUAGCAUAAGAGGCCAAAGAUCUUGCUGAAGAAAGUACCUGAAGUAAAAAAAAAAAUCAUUCCUAGUCAGUUUUCUUUUUAAAACAUUAUUCGUUAUUUUUAAACCCUAGUAAAACAGAAAUGAUUCUUGAUAUAAUCUCUGGUUACCUUUCAUAAAGACGGGUGGGUGAUUCCUUCUGUGGAUUUGUUUAGACUCUGACUUGUUGUAAAAAGUAUUUAAU
rnacentral:lncRNA from 1 species